AUUGAACGCUGGCGGCAUGCCUUACACAUGCAAGUCGAACGGUAACAGGUCUUCGGAUGCUGACGAGUGGCGAACGGGUGAGUAAUACAUCGGAACGUGCCUAGUAGUGGGGGAUAACUACUCGAAAGAGUGGCUAAUACCGCAUGAGAUCUACGGAUGAAAGCAGGGGAUCGCAAGACCUUGUGCUACUAGAGCGGCCGAUGGCAGAUUAGGUAGUUGGUGGGAUAAAAGCUUACCAAGCCGACGAUCUGUAGCUGGUCUGAGAGGACGAUCAGCCACACUGGGACUGAGACACGGCCCAGACUCCUACGGGAGGCAGCAGUGGGGAAUUUUGGACAAUGGGCGCAAGCCUGAUCCAGCAAUGCCGCGUGCAGGAUGAAGGCCUUCGGGUUGUAAACUGCUUUUGUACGGAACGAAAAGCCCUGGGUUAAUACCCUGGGGUCAUGACGGUACCGUAAGAAUAAGCACCGGCUAACUACGUGCCAGCCGCAGCCGCGG
rnacentral:rRNA from 1 species